CUACGGGGCGCACCAGUGAGGGAUUUUGCGCAAUGGGGGGAACCCUGACGCAGCAAUGCCGCGUGAGUGAAGAAGGCUUUUGGGUCGUAAAGCUCUGUCGACAGGGAAGAAGUUAUUUUGUAUUAAUAGUAUGAGAUAUUGACGGUACCUGUAGAGGAAGCACCGGCUAACUCCGUGCCAGCAGCCGCGGUAAUACGGGGGGUGCAAGCGUUAUUCGGAAUUAUUGGGCGUAAAGAGCGCGUAGGCGGAUUUGUCAGUCAGAUGUGAAAUUCCAGGGCUUAACCUUGGGCGUGCAUUUGAGACAGCAAGUCUUGAGUACGGUAGAGGAAAGUGGAAUUCCUGGUGUAGAGGUGAGAUUCGUAGAUAUCAGGAGGAACACCGAAGGCGAAGGCAGCUUUCUGGUCCGAUACUGACGCUGAAGUGCGAAGGCGUGGGUAGCAAACAGGAUUAGAUACCCUAGUAGUC
rnacentral:rRNA from 1 species